AAAAAUAAUGCCAAAUUUUGAAAAAAGGAUCAAAAAUUCUAGAUUUAGGUCACAAAAUUCUCUCAGUUAGUUGAUCUGUUGCGAACCAUUCUCUAUAGCAGUCCAAGAAAAAAGGGUUCUGGGAUCUCAAAUGCUGCACGAAUCGAUGAUAAAUAUUUCCGGCGAAGGAAAAAAGGCGAACGAACAGAGCACAGAGCACAGAGUCUCGAUUGGCAAUGCUCAAUUUGGACUGAUUCAGUGUCAGCAAUGACAUAAGCGCCAAACUGCACGACUUCACCCCAAGUGCGAAGGUGGCGAAGGUGAUACUACUUGUAGUAUGUAUGUAUGUAGGUGAUCAAAGUCGAGACAUUUGAGUUAUGACCCCAAGGAUGUCGCAGCAGCAGCAACAGCAACAGUAGCAGUGUUAUAGCUGCCAGCUAUGUCUGCAGUUUACAAGCAGCGGCAACGAGUGUGUGAAGAUCAAGCUGCAGUUAUGCUUGUCAAGAGUUUUAUAGCUGUCAGCUAUAAAAACGAUGCUUCCUAACAACUGAGUGUGAACUGAGAAAAACACUCAAAUUGUGUACAAUGUAAGAGAUUGGAGGAAGAGAUUCUUGUUAAGGGUUGCAGAAGUUGCCGCAUUGUUUGUCUGAUC